rnacentral:lncRNA from 10 species
GGGCGGUUUCCUCUAUUCUGUUCUCAUGGUAGUGAAUAAGUCUCAUGAGAUCCGAUGGUUUUAUAAGGGGUUUCCCCUUUCUCUCGUCUCAUUCUCUCCUGUCGGCCACCACGUAAGAUGCGCCUUUUGCCUUCCACCAUGAUGGUGAGGCCUCCCCAGCCACGUGGAACUCCUUCCACAGGGAAGCCCCCAGGUGGAGGAACAAGGUGUGAGGCUGUAAGCACGAGCCAACUGGACGGAGAGGCAGCCCUGCAAGUCUGCACACCAUGGCCGGUGUGGAGCUGGUCACUGUGGGAGCUGCUGGGGUGGAGCAGGUGGCCAAUGGCAGGCCUAGUACUUACGCAAAUUGUGAUCAUGUGGACUCAUUGUUCGAGCAACACUCCUUUCUUCAGCAGAUGGCACUGUGACCCCAAAAUCUGGCAUGUUAUUUUUCUCUCUGCAACUCCUGAAGAAUUGUCUACACGCUGCAAAGCAAGAUGACACAAACCCAGGAAACCACUGCCUUUGGGCCAAAGUAGAAUCAUCUUUUGCUAGUUUGAAUUCUUAACCGAAUUUUUACCUGGCUAAAAGUACAGCAUUUUUAAAAGCCCUUCAACGUAUACAAUGUUUUUAGACCUUUAUAAAACAGACCAUUAGUUAACCAACCCUAUAAAGGAGGUAGUAUUAUCAUUAUUACACACAGAUGGUAUAACUGAGGCAAGAGUACGGGACAUAAUGUGCUCGAGGACACAGAGCUAGAAACAGUAGAGCUAGAGUUGAAACUGGCACCUCUUGCAUUCCAUGCUCUUAACCUUACAUUACAUUGCAACGGAAAUGGAAAGAAAGGGAAGGGUGGGACAGAGAUUGCAAUGGAGGAAUGAACAUAACUUGGGAACUCCUAAGUUAUGAGUUAUUCGCAAGGUACAGAGAAUAAAAAAUAACACAAGAAUUUUACUUCUUGUGAAAAGAACAAAUUACAGAAGCUAUUUUUGACAAUAGUGAGUUUUUUUAGCUUAUCCUUAAAGUAAACAAAAGUUUAGAGUUAAUCAUAACAUAUGUAUACUAUUAUUUUUUAAGUUGUUCCUGCAUCCAAUGGUGACAUAAACACAUUGGCUCCAAUAACAGAAUGAGAUUUCAUUUCCAGGUAAAGAUGCUACCUCGAGGCAAAUUGAAUGCUCAAAUCUUUCUACAGGUAAAAUCUUGUUUUAAUAAAAGGCACUUCCACGUUUGUGUUUACACAAUGAGCCUCUUCCCAUAUUCGGUCAGGUGUUAUCUGAGCAUACUGAAGGAGAGCUGAGGUCCUGGCUACGAUGGAUUCCAUUUGACCUAAUAAAUGUUGAAUUGCCAAUGUAAUCAGUGAUUCUUGUAGCAGUGUAGGACAUGGAUCCUAGGAGAAGAUUUCAGUACUUUGCGAGCUACCACUUGCUAAGCUCCGGAAAAGCUGUCUGCGAAGACAUGAGGAGGAGGGGCAGUCCCUAAAUUGUCAAUGGCCUUAAAAAGAGGCUGUAUUUCUCUUAAGCAUUUAAUAUAUACUUUGGGUUCUUAAAUUAAUUUUGCAAAUUAAUUCAGUUCAAACUAUAGGUAUAAUUUUCAUUUUGUAGGUGGUGAAAGGAGGCUCAGGACAAUUGGGUAAUGCCUCUAAGUUUCUAUACCUUAUAUAACUGUUAUCUGAUAAAAUAAGGAUACAAAUCGUAGUUAUUCUCAUCUACACUGUAUUUUCC